GGGGCUGACGGUACCCGAGGAAUAAGCACCGGCUAACUUCGUGCCAGCAGCCGCGGUAAUACGAAGGGUGCAAGCGUUAAUCGGAAUUACUGGGCGUAAAGGGUGCGUAGGCGGUUAGUUAAGUCUGUUGUGAAAUCCCCGGGCUCAACCUGGGAAUGGCAAUGGAUACUGGCUAGCUAGAGUGUGUCAGAGGAUGGUGGAAUUUCCGGUGUAGCGGUGAAAUGCGUAGAGAUCGGAAGGAACAUCAGUGGCGAAGGCGGCCAUCUGGGACAACACUGACGCUGAAGCACGAAAGCGUGGGGAGCAAACAGGAUUAGAUACCCUGGUAGUCCACGCCCUAAACG
rnacentral:rRNA from 1 species